rnacentral:tRNA from 1 species
UCCCUGGCAGUCCAAAGGUUAGGACUCAGCACUUUCACUGCAGGGGCCCAGGCUCAAUCCUUGGUCAAGGAA